AUGAAAUAUCUUAUGAAAUUUAUACAUUUCUCGAAAAUAUUAUCUUAAUACUUUUCUAUAUAAUAAUAUGGGAAAAAUCAAUUACUGAUAUUUAUCAUUACACAUUGAUAUGUUAUGCCCGCGGUGUUUGGACGCGACGGGUUUUUCGGGGUGAGGUGGUUUGAGCGGAUCGGUGUCGGCCGUUGAAAGUCCGAGAUCAUCAAGAAAAUAGUUUACUCAAUAUUUUGUUGCAAUUAUUUCUAUGUCGGAAGUGGACCUUGUUCCUGACGUGCUCCAAGUAGGUUCGCGAUAGUGCGAAGUGUACGUUAAGCGAGAUACGCGAUAAUGUGGAGGUAUAGUAUCGGAGAUCCUGGCCCGUGGGUCGGCGCUGAUCUUAAAUUUUUUUUUAACUUCUGAUUUAACAUUACAAUCUAUCAUAAUUAAGGAUAUUCAGUAAUGUUUGUGAAUAUUUCGUUGUCUUGUCAGGUAUAUGCCCAUGGGCACAUUCAAAAUAAAUUCGUGUAUUUCACUUAAUUAAAUCACUGGGAGUUCUUUUCUUUAGUCUUUGAGCUGUAUUUUUGACGAUCACCAAACGACUAGCGAGUUUGUUAGAGUGACUUAAUAUUCUAUCUCUGUAUGAUUUCGUUAGAUUUGCAAUCUCCUUUCUAACGAAGGGGAUAUUUAAGUUGUUGUGAAGAAUCUCGUUUAACACAAAUGGUGCGUCAGCUAUUAUGCGUAGGAUCUUAGAUUGGAAUCUUUGUAUUAUUUCUAUGUUUGAAUGCGAAGUGGUGCCCCAAAGCUAUAUCCCGUAGGUCCAUAUGGGUUGGAUGAUGACUUUAUAUAGUAAUACUUGGUUUGUCAGACUUAGCUGGGAUUUCCGUCCUAUCAUCCAAUACAAUUUCUUUAGAAGAAGCCCAAGCACUUUUCUCUUGUUUCACAGGCGAGCGGUUAAAAUGUCCUAAGGAAAACGUGACGUGAAUGGACUUGAGCUCGUUAACUUUAAUUCUUCACAAUUUAAGCUAGUUGGAGAUAUCGCUUAGACUACGUUGCAACACUAUUAAGGAAGAUCAGCUGUAUAGAGCAAGUAUAAUAAUGGUCCAAGAACACUUCCCUGAGGCACUUCCCCCCAGCUCGUACACUAUAAAACCCAAUUUGAGAUGUUCCAUGCAUAACAAGAAAACUGUGAUCCCCCAGCUAAAACUUCAUGCUUAGUGAACUUGGCGAUAGAUUGGUUUGAGGUAUACUGAGGUUUUUGAAGAUCUCCACAAGAUGUUCGUGUGACCCAUCAUAAAGAUGCGGACUAAAAACUUUGCUCAGAUGCUCCGCAAAAGUAGUAACUUUCUCUUCAUUACUCCUUGCCCAAGAGCCGUCAUUUCUAUGCAAUGUUAUGCAGAAGUCAAUAAGGUCUGGAGUUUUCUUCCUAUCCGUUGGUCAGUAUGUGGGAUGGCCCGACGAUACGACACCAAGCCCAAGUCUGUUGAUGGAACUGAGCAAUUCCCGGCCGUUCGUUGUUGUGAGUCUGGAUCCCCAGUGGGUGUGCUUCACGUUGUAAUCAUCCCCACCUAUGAAGCGACUUUCAAGGGAGUUAAAAAAGUUGUAAUAGUUCUCCUUAAUUUUAUACCUUGGUGGACAGUAAAUUGCCGUUAUAUUAAUAGGAGCGUGCCAGUCUUCGAGGAUAAUUUGUA